rnacentral:tRNA from 1 species
GGCGGAGUAGCUCAGUAGGUUAGAGCAGAGGAAUCAUAAUCCUUGUGUCGGGGGUUCAAAUCCCUCCUCCGCUACC